rnacentral:misc_RNA from 1 species
GUAGGUGAACCUGCGGAAGGAUCAUUAAUGUUUUUGAGGGGGUUUAAUAGCCUCUUACAACAAAACACCAAUCCCUGUGCACCGUUUUAUACUGAUUGGGUUUCUUUUUUGGGUGGGCAAAAGCAAAGAGUUGGGUGUAAGAACCCAGCUCUUUCUUCCAACCAGCCAGGGAAACAGAAACCCUCCUAUCAUGACCCUGACAUUUUUUGACUGAACAAUCCAUGAAAACAAAGCUUUUUAGCUUUAAAACAACUUUCAGCAACGGAUCUCUUGGUUCUC